AUACCGAAAGGAGUGGUGGACGGCAUGGAAGAGAGAAUGCCGGUAUGAGUAGCGAGAGCGAAGUGAGAAUCUUAGCCGUCGAAAGCCCAAGGAUUCCUGAGGAAGGUUCGUCCGCUCAGGGUAAGUCGGGACCUAAGCCGAGGACGAAAGUCGUAGGCGAUGGACAAUCGGUUGAAAUUCCGAUACCACCGACAUCCGCAUGAGAGAAGCAGUGACACAGGAGGAUAGACGGAGCAGGUUGUUGGUAGAGCCUGUUCAAGCAGUGAGUCCGGGAAGCGAGUGAAGUACCGUUUUCCAAAGAUGAGCUGUGACGGGGACCGAAAUUAGAGUAGGGAAGCCGUUGAAUCCACACUGGCGAGAAAAGCUGCUAUCGAGGAUGGAGGUGCCCGUACCGCAAACCGACACAGGUGGGCGGGGAGAGAAUCCCAAGACGAACGGGAGAACCCUUGUUAAGGAACUCGGCAAAAUGACCCCGUAACUUCGGGAGAAGGGGUGCCCACGCAAGUGGGCCGCAGAGAAUAGGCUCAAGCAACUGUUUAGCAAAAACACAGGUCUAUGCAAAACCGAAAGGUGAGGUAUAUGGGCUGACGCCUGCCCGGUGCUGGAAGGUUAAGAGGAGAGGUUAGCGCAAGCGAAGCUUUGAAUUUAAGCCCCAGUAAACGGCGGCCGUAACUAUAACGGUCCUAAGGUAGCGAAAUUCCUUGUCGGGUAAGUUCCGACCCGCACGAAAGGCGUAACGAUUUGGGCGCUGUCUCAACAAGGGACCCGGCGAAAUUGUAGUACCAGUGAAGAUACUGGUUACCCGCGAUAGGACGGAAAGACCCCGUAGAGCUUUACUGUAACCUGAUAUUGGAUUUUGGCAGGGAAUGUACAGGAUAGGUGGGAGACUGGGAAGCAUGUACGCCAGUAUGUGUGGAGUCAAUGUUGGGAUACCACCCUUUCUGUGCCGGAAUUCUAACCUUGGAGCCGUGAACCGGCGAAGGGACAUUGUCAGGUGGGCAGUUUGACUGGGGCGGUCGCCUCCGAAAGAGUAACGGAGGCGCCCAAAGGUUCCCUCAGAAUGGUUGGAAAUCAUUCGAAGAGUGUAAAGGCAGAAGGGAGCUUGACUGCGAGAGCUACAACUCGAGCAGGGACGAAAGUCGGGCUUAGUGAUCCGGUGGUUCCGCAUGGAAGGGCC
rnacentral:rRNA from 1 species